rnacentral:rRNA from 1 species
AAAUGAAUUGACGGGGGCCCGCACAAGCGGCGGAGCAUGCUGAUUAAUUCGAUGCAACGCGAAGAACCUUACCAAGGCUUGACAUGCACUGGACGGCUGCAGAGAUGUGGCUUUCUUUGGACUGGUGCACAGGUGGUGCAUGGUUGUCGUCAGCUCGUGUCGUGAGAUGUUGGGUUAAGUCCCGCAACGAGCGCAACCCUCGUUCUAUGUUGCCAGCACGUAAUGGUGGGGACUCAUAGGAGACUGCCGGGGUCAACUCGGAGGAAGGUGGGGACGACGUCAAAUCAUCAUGCCCCUUAUGUCUUGGGCUUCAAGCAUGCUACAAUGGUCGGUACAAUGGGUUGCGAAACUGUGAGGUGGAGCGAAUCCCAAAAAGCCGGCCUCAGUUCGGAUUGGGGUCUGCAACUCGACCCCAUGAAGUCGGAGUCGCUAGUAAUCGCAGAUCAGCAACGCUGCGGUGAAUACGUUCCCGGGCCUUGUACACACCGCCCGU